rnacentral:rRNA from 1 species
CAGUAGCCACGGGAAUACGGAGGGUGCAAGCGUUAAUCGGAAUUACUGGGCGUAAAGCGCACGCAGGCGGUCUGACAAGUCAGAUGUGAAAUCCCCGGGCUUAACCUGGGAACUGCAUUUGAAACUGUCAGGCUGGAGUCUUGUAGAGGGGGGUGGAAUUCCAGGUGUAGCGGUGAAAUGCGUAGAGAUCUGGAGGAAUACCGGUGGCGAAGGCGGCCCCCUGGACAAAGACUGACGCUCAGGUGCGAAAGCGUGGGGAGCAAACAGGAUUAGAUACCCGCGUAGUCCCUGUCUCUUAUAC